rnacentral:rRNA from 1 species
AACACAUGCAAGUCGAACGGUAACAGGUCUUCGGACGCUGACGAGUGGCGAACGGGUGAGUAAUACAUCGGAACGUGCCCAGUCGUGGGGGAUAACUACUCGAAAGAGUAGCUAAUACCGCAUACGAUCUGAGGAUGAAAGCGGGGGACCUUCGGGCCUCGCGCGAUUGGAGCGGCCGAUGGCAGAUUAGGUAGUUGGUGGGAUAAAAGCUUACCAAGCCGACGAUCUGUAGCUGGUCUGAGAGGACGACCAGCCACACUGGGACUGAGACACGGCCCAGACUCCUACGGGAGGCAGCAGUGGGGAAUUUUGGACAAUGGGCGAAAGCCUGAUCCAGCAAUGCCGCGUGCAGGAUGAAGGCCUUCGGGUUGUAAACUGCUUUUGUACGGAACGAAAAAGCUUCUCCUAAUACGAGAGGCCCAUGACGGUACCGUAAGAAUAAGCACCGGCUAACUACGUGCCAGCCGCCGCGGUAAUUC